rnacentral:misc_RNA from 1 species
GAUUAAGAACGUAGCGAAAUGCGAUAAGUAAUGUGAAUUGCAGAAUUCAGUGAAUCAUCGAAUCUUUGAACGCACAUUGCGCCCCUUGGUAUUCCGAGGGGCAUGCCUGUUCGAGCGUCAUUAUAACCCCUCAAGCUCAGCUUGGUGUUGGGGCCUGCCGCACGGGCAGCCCUUAAAAUCAGUGGCGGUGCUAUCUGGCUCUAAGCGUAGUAAUUCUUCUCGCUAUAGAGUCCCGGUGGAUGCUUGCCAUUAACCCCCAAUUUUCUAUGGUUGACCUCGGAUCAGGUAGGGAUACCCGCUGAACUUAAGCAUAUCAAUAAGCGGAGGA